GGUGCAACGGUUUUUAUGUGUCGUUAAUUUGUGGACUUAUGAAUUAAAUAAAUAUGGAUAAAACUACAACUAUCAGAUCAAAAAAGCUGCCGUUUUCUUCUUCCGAAAGAAAGCUGCUGAUUGUAGCUAUAAUAUAAGAGAACGGCCUAUUAUUGAAAACAAGCAUACCUUUUUUAUUAUCCUCUCUAAAAUAUCGAGUUGAAUAAGCAGGCCAGGGAAAAUUAACAGUGACUUACAAUUCUCAACCAUAUUUAUGUUUCACAAAGGCUCACACAUCAACUGCAAACCUGCUGGAAUAAUUUAAAGACCCAAAGAAAGAAAUAACUUUCUCAGGAAUCAAUCAAACGUUCUCAACACCCAAUAGUAUCAAGAAAUUAAGAUUAGUAGUAGCAAGAAUGAAGAUUAAGACAGAAAGAAGAAUCAAACACACCACAUUGAACAAUAUACAACAAGACCAGGCUUUGCACGAGUUGGGGCUACAAAGAGAAACAAAUUUGAUAGCAAGAGAAAAGAAUUUUUUAGAACAUGAAAAAAAGAUUCAUGAUUUACAAAU